rnacentral:lncRNA from 1 species
AUUGUGUGCCAUAUAGGUUGGUUGUCCUCUUAACCAAUGAGUGUGGAGACACUAGUAUGGCAUACAGGUGAGAUGUAAGGGUACAUCUGCACUGAACGUGAUCGACUCUGGAGCUAUUUCUGCUGUCAAGAUUUGCUCUGAUGGAAUAUGGGUAUAAAUAUCCCUCCGACCUGAGACCGCCACGGUGACUUGCAAGCAACUCACUGCACUUAGACACUGGACUACCUGAAUUUUUAAUUCAGUGAUGGAAGGCUGUUGGGUGUAGUCAAGUACUUGACUUGUCGGUGCGU